rnacentral:rRNA from 1 species
CCUACGGGGGGCAGCAGUGAGGAAUAUUGGUCAAUGGACGAGAGUCUGAACCAGCCAAGUAGCGUGAAGGAUGACUGCCCUAUGGGUUGUAAACUUCUUUUAUAUGGGAAUAAAACGUUCCACGUGUGGGAUUUUGUAUGUACCAUAUGAAUAAGGAUCGGCUAACUCCGUGCCAGCAGCCGCGGUAAUACGGAGGUUCCGAGCGUUAUCCGGAUUUAUUGGGUUUAAAGGGAGCGUAGGUGGAUUGUUAAGUCAGUUGUGAAAGUUUGCGGCUCAACCGUAAAAUUGCAGUUGAAACUGGCAGUCUUGAGUACAGUAGAGGUGGGCGGAAUUCGUGGUGUAGCGGUGAAAUGCUUAGAUAUCACGAAGAACUCCGAUUGCGAAGGCAGUUCACUGGACUGCAACUGACACUGAGGCUCGAAAGUGUGGGUAUCAAACAGGAUUAGAUACCCUGGUAGUC